rnacentral:rRNA from 1 species
UACGAGAGCCUCGAGCGUUAUCCGGAAUUAUUGGGCGUAAAGGGUACGUAGGUUGUUCUGUUAGUCUUUUAUUAAAGCCCCGAGCUUAACUUGGGAUAUGUACAAGAAACGGCAGAACUAGAAAGUGCGAGAGGUGAAUGGAACUCAUGGUGUAGGGGUGAAAUCCGUUGAUAUCAUGGGGAACACCAAAUGCGAAGGCAAUUCACUGGCGCAUAUUUGACACUCAAGUACGAAAGCGUGGGUAGCGAAUGGG